AUUGAACGCUGGCGGCAGGCCUAACACAUGCAAGUCGAGCGGAGCGGCGGACGGGAGAGUAAUGCCUAGGAAUCUGCCUGGUAGUGGGGGAUAACGUCCGGAAACUGGCGCUAAUACCGCAUACUAUCAGAUGAGCCUAGGUCGGAUUAUCUAGUAGGUGGGGGAAAGGACUACAAAGGCGACGGUCCGUAACUGGUCUGAGAGGAUGAUCAGUCACACUGGAACAGAUACACGGUCCAGACUCCUUCGGGAGGCAGCAGGGGGGAAUAUUGGACAAGGGGUGAAAGCCUGCUCCAGGCUGGCCGCAUGUGUGAAGAAGGUCUUUGGAUUGUAAAGCACUUUAAGUUGGGAGGCGUUACCAACAGAAUAAGCACCGGCUAACUUCGUGCCAGCAGCCGCGGUAAUA
rnacentral:rRNA from 1 species